CACCCGCCGGUGAAUAGAUAGCCGGUGUGGAGGGAACGCGGGGAAGUGAAACAUCUCAGUACCCGUAGGAAGAGAAAACAAUAGUGAUUCCGUCAGUAGCGGCGAGCGAAAGCGGAUGGUGGCUAAACCGUGUGCGUGUGAUACCUGGCAGGGGUUGCGUGCACGGGGUUGUGGGGCGAUGUUGUGUGGGUCUGCCAGCUUGCGCAU
rnacentral:ncRNA from 1 species